GACGAACGCUGGCGGCGUGCUUAACACAUGCAAGUCGAACGGAAAGGCCCUGCUUUUGUGGGGUGCUCGAGUGGCGAACGGGUGAGUAACACGUGAGUAACCUGCCCUUGACUUUGGGAUAACUUCAGGAAACUGGGGCUAAUACCGGAUAGGAGCUCCUGCUGCAUGGUGGGGGUUGGAAAGUUUCGGCCGUUGGGGAUGGACUCGCGGCUUAUCAGCUUGUUGGUGGGGUAGGGGCUUACCAAGGCUUUGACGGGUAGCCGGCCUGAGAGGGUGACCGGCCACAAUGGGACUGGGAUACGGGCCAGACUCCUACGGGAGGCAGCAGUGGGGAAUAUUGCACAAUGGGCGGAAGCCUGAUGCAGCAACGCCGCGUGCGGGAUGACGGCCUUCGGGUUGUAAACCGCUUUCGCCUGUGACGAAGCGUGAGUGACGGUAAUGGGUAAAGAAGCACCGGCUAACUACGUG
rnacentral:rRNA from 1 species